rnacentral:rRNA from 1 species
GACGAACGCUGGCGGCGUGCCUAAUACAUGCCAGUUGAGCGCUGAAGGUUGGUACUUGUACCCACUGGAUGAGCAGCGAACGGGUGAGUAACGCGUGGGGAAUCUGCCUUUGAGCGGGGGACAACAUUUGGAAACGAAUGCUAAUACCGCAUAAAAACUUUAAACACAAGUUUUAAGUUUGAAAGAUGCAAUUGCAUCACUCAAAGAUGAUCCCGCGUUGUAUUAGCUAGUUGGUGAGGUAAAGGCUCACCAAGGCGAUGAUACAUAGCCGACCUGAGAGGGUGAUCGGCCACAUUGGGACUGAGACACGGCCCAAACUCCUACGGGAGGCAGCAGUAGGGAAUCUUCGGCAAUGGACGAAAGUCUGACCGAGCAACGCCGCGGGAGUGAAGAAGGGUUUCGGAUCGUAAAACUCUGUUGGUAGAGAAGAACGUUGGUGAGAGUGGAAAGCUCAUCAAGUGACGGUAACUACACAGAAAGGGACGGCUAACUACGUG